UGAGUACGAAACGAGCGGACGGGCGGGUCUGCAUGAAACCAGUUUCCCGCGCGCACGUCACGGAAGAGGUCGCUCUCAUUGGUAGUCGCCCGUCGCAG
rnacentral:lncRNA from 1 species